rnacentral:lncRNA from 1 species
UUUACCUAUUGACAAGGCAAGCAAUGUAAUUACAAGAAGGGUUAAUUGCAUAUAGGUCUCCGCAAAUAUAGUAAAUUGCAAAUAUAUUCCUGUAAAGUUCAACUUUAAUAAGUUAUCCUUGCGAAGUCCUAAUGUUUUCAGAUAUAUCCCUUUAAUUUGUUAUCGUUAGAAAACUGUUUAUAUUUCUAAUUUUGCCAUCACAAAUAUGCCCCUCCAAAAGUUAUAAUAGUAUAAUAUAAGAGGAGUAAUAAUGUCAAAAAUUAACCCAGGUAAAGUAUUUAACCUAUGGUUAACUAAACUUUUCUAACAGAUUCUAACGGCUGGAACAUAUCUGAAAACAUUAGGACUUUUGUAAGGAUAACUUACGAAAGUUGUACUUUACAGGAAUAUAUUUGUAAUUCCCUAUAUUUGCAGGGACUUGUAUGCAAUUAACCCUUAUAAGAAGUGCUCCUUUAAAA